rnacentral:rRNA from 1 species
UACGAACUGUGCGACCGUUAUUCGGAAUCACUGGGCUUACAGGGUGCGUAGGCGGCUCAACAAGUCAGGUGUGAAAGCCCCCGGCUCAACCGGGGAACUGCGCUUGAAACUGUUAGGCUCGAGUCAGCUAGAGGUACACGGAACUUCCAGUGGAGCGGUGAAAUGUGUUGAUAUUGGAAGGAACACCGGAGGCGAAAGCGGUGUACUAGGGCUGGUCUGACGCUGAGGCACGAAAGCCAGGGGAGCGAACGGG